CCUACGGGUUGCAGCAGUGGGGAAUUUUGGACAAUGGGCGAAAGCCUGAUCCAGCCAUGCCGCGUGCAGGAUGAAGGCCUUCGGGUUGUAAACUGCUUUUGUACGGAACGAAAAGGUUUGGCCUAAUAAGCUGAGCUCAUGACGGUACCGUAAGAAUAAGCACCGGCUAACUACGUGCCAGCAGCCGCGGUAAUACGUAGGGUGCGAGCGUUAAUCGGAAUUACUGGGCGUAAAGCGUGCGCAGGCGGUUAUGUAAGACAGAUGUGAAAUCCCCGGGCUCAACCUGGGAACUGCAUUAGUGACUGCAUAGCUGGAGUACGGCAGAGGGGGAUGGAAUUCCGCGUGUAGCAGUGAAAUGCGUAGAUAUGCGGAGGAACACCGAUGGCGAAGGCAAUCCCCUGGGCCUGUACUGACGCUCAUGCACGAAAGCGUGGGGAGCAAACAGGAUUAGAUACCCUAGUAGUC
rnacentral:rRNA from 1 species